CAUGCGCGCCAUGCCACUCCUCACAGGUAGGCACACACAGGCAAACGCAUACGCGUACACAUCCCCAGACUCUUUGCGCCGCCGCAACGUCGUUCGCACGCACAUACAAGGGUUGUGUGUGCAACCGUUGGUGUGGGUGCGAGGGUGCUCAGAUAGUACAAGAAGCGUCCUUGUCAACGAUUCUUCGAGAGGCUCGCUGCUUUCGAGAAGAGGCCGCCUCUGCACUGAACUCGACGUGCGUGUGCGUGAGAAAUGGGCUCGGAGGCGGCAGCGGCACAGUCCCGAUUUCUGCGUAUCGGUCUUUGCCCUACAAGCAGACGGCGACGCUUUCGCCUCACACCCUCUGCAAGAAGGAAAGAGGAGCAGAAACCGGAAGGACGGAAGACGUGGAGGGCGACGUGACAUCGCCCAGUAGGCGGCAGUGCGACAGAGCACAGGGCACUGCGUCGACGACAGGGGGGGGGUUCCAAUCGAGCCCAUCACGUCGGCGGAGACCAGGGUGCUUCAUCAUGGCCAUCUUUCUCCCGCGAUGGCACUCCAGAUUGCGGUUGCCCGCACGCUCGCCGCCUCGCAUGCCCAUGGGGGCGUGCCGGCGAAUGGCCGCGACAACCAGCAGUGGCACUUUCGCCCCGCCGGUGUCACAGUCAUGGCGGGCUUUUGCCUCGUGGCGCUACAGCGGCACCGAUUGCCUACAUCACCGGAAGUUUGCGGCUGUCUACGCGUUGCUGGAGGAGCGCCUUCCCGUCGCUCCGCUCUGCCCCAACGACGCACUCGAUACACUGCUCUGCCUUGUGCCAACAGAUAUCCACCACAACGGCGUGGUCGACCAUCUCGUGCGCAUCGUCAGCGGCAACGCAUGCUGCAUUGAUCCGUCCCUGUGCCUUGCUGUCAUGGAGAGGCUGCUGGUGCCGGCGCUGCCGUCCUGGCUACGUGGGUCAGCCGUAGUCACGGAAAGCAGCAGCGACAGCGACGACUUGCCAGCUGCGGAGAUAAGCGAUGCGGCACUGCUGAUUGCCCUGGAGCCGCUUGGCCGCGCGCUGAGCCGGUGUGUGGUUGUGCACGUGCGUCUCUGGCUCGGCGAGAGUGGACACGUCACUGACUCGUUGUGUCGUCUACGGGACUGGCACACGCUACGCACAGGCCCUCUCUGCCGGCGAUCACGACACGACCGCGGAGAAGGUGACGACAGUAGUAGCUCUUUCUUACUAAGGGGAGCGGCGGUGCUGAUGUCUUUCACAGCCCAGCGACAGCUCUGGGACUGUAGCGGCAGUGGGCGAGGUGCCGUGAUGAACAGCUGCACCAAGCAACACCUCGGACGACAAGAGAGCAGCGACCGAUGGCACGCCUGCAGUCUCAUUGCCGUGGCCUACCCCGUUGUGCGGUUUCUCUACUCGACUCAAUCGCGAGCGAACGGGCGAGAGCGUCUCGCGGCUCGAACGGGCAUCCGCGCAUCCGUUCCAACGGCGGAGACGCUCCAGCCGUCGCGCAGCAGCGGUGGUGCGGCCCCAGGCGACCGACAUGCGUUUGAUCCGUCGCGCUGGGGCACAGUGCGCUCACUUGGCCAACAGUGCUGGUGGUGGUCCACGGUGGUAUGCCGCGCCAUCCCGGUCAUCCCAUCCGCCGCCGGUCGUGCCUUUGCCGUGCACUCGCUGGUUGACGUCGUUCAUGAACUACACAGAGAGCUGGCACCUUGCGUCGUGCCGUGUGGGUCGCCAUUGCUGUGGGCGUGCUCUGAGCAUCCUCCGCAGCUGCCCUCCCUCGAGACACUUCGGCCAUGCUUAGCGAUGCUUGAGUGGCUUCUCGUUGACAGCGUCCCUGUAUUACGUGACAGGAGCGACGCUGAGGCCUCGUGGCUCUCGCCCGCUGAUUUGAAGAGGAGCGUGCAGUCUUCGCGGCCUUCCGCAUGGACAGCAGAGCUGCGGCGUGGCUGGUACCACCUUGGCGGCGACUUCGCUUGCCUCUCUGCUGCUGCGUUGGAGCGUAUGGUAAACGGUCCAUGCACCGCGCCUGACGUUUGCUGUCGUAGGGCGGCAGCCGGUGGCGCGGCUGGCAUGCGCGACUCCGCCGCGCCACGGUCUGCCUCACCACCUCUGCGGCUGAGUCUGAUCGGUACGUGCGCCUGCAGCCACCUCGUCCGUGGAAUGGCGAAUGUCGGCUAUCGCCUUGCUCUGCAGUGGGCCGCCGUGGUGACACCUUUGACGACCGCUGUGGUGAUAUCGGCGCUGGUGGAAGGCACGCUCGACGCGCAGCGCAGGUGCAGCACAUUUCAGCGGCUUGGCUUCCUUGACAAGCGUCAGCGCCAGCAGCAGGAGCAGGGGCUGGCGUUCCCCGCGUGUGAACUGGACGUGGUCCUGCGAUUACUGAACGCCAUCACGUCUGUCAGACCUGUGUUGUCGAGCGCAGCGUCCACCAUCAGCUCUGGACCGUCAGCUGCAGCUGAGCUUGUCUUUGUGGAGGAGACGACAUGGUGUAAGCUGGCGUGCCUCGUGAACCUUGUGCGCUGCCGCCUAACGGACAGAGUAGAGCGCAGCCAAGGCCGUGCCGGUACGGUAGGUGCAAUGCACGAGCAUCAGAAGUUUGUUCAGCUUCACGAGCAGCGACUGCUGCAUUGCGGCCUGGUCCAUGUGCUGGCGUGCGCGGCGAUCUCGACAGCUGAGGCCGCUUCCUGUGGAACCGUGGGCGCAACAAUGACUGAAGAUGUCCUAGCUCUUGGCCACGGUGGCAAACGCCCUCAGUCGUCCGCCCACACACCUCCUCGUGCGCUGCCCGAAUCCUCGGCUGAAUUCCUUUGCGCACUGCUAAAGUGCUGGCGCACGUGGACGAUGGACUGGCCUCUGCAGCUUCACGCGACGUGGCUGCAGGAGCUGGAAUCUGCUGCCGCAGUUGUGGCGACGCCUGCGGGCGCCGAAGCGAAGGGGGCUGACGAGAGAGAGAGCUGCGGUGGCAUAUCACCCGCUACAAGAGCAACCGCCGCACACGCCGAGGCGGCGAUGGCGGUACCCAAUUUUCCUUUUCGGGGGGUCGCCGACGACCCAUGCGACCAGGCGUGCCGGUCGAUGCAUCGCCGGUUGUGCUCGCUCCUCACCGAGGCGUGGGCCGCGACGACGGACACUCGGCACGACCGAGACCCACUCGAUCUGUGUGCGUGCUGGUAUGCUUUCUCUGCUGUGUCGCGUCCGCUUCGUUGCCCUUCGGCGACCGGGGUGUCAUUGACCGCGAGAGCCGGCAUGUCCCCACCUACAUGCUGCGCCUCCUCGCAGCUAUUCCAGCAGGGUUCCUGCGUGUACGAGAGUCCCCGAGAGGACAAGCUGCGUGAGCAGUUGACCCUCAUGGCCGCCGCAUCCGAGGAACGCUUCUGCCGCAUGUGCGAGUCAUGGUUCAAGCGACUUCGCGAUCUCCCCAACACUCGCGUCAUGAGCUCCAUUUUGCAGUUGAUGGAACAGCGUCCAAUGCCGCUGCGCCGGCCUUCCGUGCAGCGCCAGAAAUGCGACGCGCCCACAUUUGGCUGGUACCCGAUCUCUCUCCCUUCAAUUGUUUCGCAUCUUGCUCUCCGCAUACUCUACCGCAGCAGGCCGGAGGGCACGGUCGGCACCACGGCGGCCAUCCUUGACGGCAACGGUGUGGCUUCCGAGCUGCCUGGCGUCAGCGACUCGUUUGUUGCCAUGGUGCAUGCCGCGCUGCUGACACCGGCGACAGAGGAGCUGGCUGCCUUUCAGCUGUCAGUGGUUUGCCGGUAUGCGGAGUGGUGCCAAUCGGCGGGAGUGCACAUUGGCUGGUGCGCCUGUGCCGUUCAGGCCUACCGUACAGCCGGUGGCGCUGGUAUCUCUUACGUCUCGUGCAUGCCUGUCGAUGGCCUGGUAGGGCCGGCCUCCAGCGCUACAGGUAUGCCGUGGUGGGUACUGACGGUGGACGGGUUGGCGGUGAGGGAACGUAGGCAGGGUGGCGUCAGCGUAGCCACGAUUCUCUUCUUGUGGGAGCAUGGAGCUGCUGCUGCUACUGGGAUGGAGGGUCCUCGUUUUUUCGGAUCCCAUGACCUUCACGAAAGCGGUCGCACGUCUGCGAUACGGCCACUGAUGCCGCCGCGGCCCGGCACUGCUGGCGACGGCGCCUUGGCGGAAUUGUCUCAGGCUUCGCCGAGUGAGAUGAAGUUGGGUACUCUUGGUGCGCCACCCAAAGCCACCGCGGAGUUGGACGACGAAGUCGGCGGCUGCAAUGGCUUCGCAGACGAACACCGCAGCAUGCGUCAGAGCAUUGUGGAGUGGGGUCACCGCUACGCGUUGCGCCUGGUCCUUUUCGAAGUGGGGGAGGGUCAGCGGCACCGCGAGAGCGGUGCCGCGCUAGCUCGUCGGUCGCAGCAGCAGCUGGCAAGGCAAGCGCUGUGUGAUCCCCGGUGCCAAAGAUGCAGGACCUUGGUGGCGGUCCACGAGGGUUCCGUUGAGGAGGAUGCGAAGUCUGCAGCCGGUGCACGUCUCAAGUACGCUACAUAUGCGUACCGCUCUGCUGUGUCGGGGCUGGGCAUUACACCACGAUUUGUGUGGCACAGCGACGCCUACCAGCCACUUGUGCAGCUUGUGGCGGAGAGCGCUGCGUGUAUGGUGGAUCAGCUAGCUGCCGAAGUGCUUGCUUUCGCCUGUACGACGGCGGCGCACGGGGAGACGAGCAACUCCAAGGUUGAGGCGGGCGAACCGAGAACCGAAGGACAUCCCGUUGUUGGUGCGAUUGCGACAAACUUGUUCAAGGCAAAGCACCCUGAGCGCUGGACGACGCGCCUCACCGCGCACUUGUGGGGCGAGCUUCGCCGCAGUUCGGCACAAGCUGCCGUCGCACAGCCUUCUCGCACCUUCCCCUACGCUCACGGCACCAGUUUCCACGGCAGCCGCCACCGUCCGUCACCGACGCCGGUGAUGCGCUACUCACUCGGCCAGCACCCACAGUCGCGCGGGCUCGCAUCAUCAGACCUCGUGUCGCGUUUAGAGCAGCUGCUGUGCGGCCUUGGCUUCGUCGCGGCAUCGGAGAAACACCUUGUUUGUCACGCACCCGGCGGUGUGGUGCCGACGGAGGGAGUUGCAGAAGAUUCUUACGCGCUUCUCGCCUCCCUGUUGCUGUCUCCCGAACUGGUGUGCACGUCCUCGAUUGUGGUAUACUUUGCGAACGCCGUUCUUUGGGAGAAAUGCUGGGCCUGUCUGACGAGGGCCUCCAGCGCAGCUGCCCAUCACAGCGGCGGCGGCAUGCCGGGCAGUCUAGAAGGGCCGGAAGAUGUGAUAGCGCAGCUUGAUGCACUCGUCGCCUUUCGGGUUAUCUUGCGCUGUAUCGAGCAGGUGCAGCGACUCGUGCACGAGCUGGUGGGGUACCUCUGUUGCGUUUUCGUGCCAGCCGUGCAGGCAGACCACGGCGCUGCCUGUCUCACAGCCACGCCGGUGGAGGCGAUGUAUCGCCUCGCAUGUACAUUUUCAUCGUCUGCAUCCCGCAGUGUUGCGCCACCGACAACGCAUCCAGAGCACGCGGCCACUGCAAAGUGCAACAGACGCGAUGUGCGCAAUCUGCGCAGACAUUUUUGCUUCUCUUCCGCGACGGUGCGCGCAUUCGAGGUGCUGUGCCUCGGCAGAUGCGGUGAUGAGCGGCGAGCACCGCGGGUAUGGCAGCAGUGGACACGCGAGUUGCUUCGUAGCGAUCGGGUUCUGCGCGAACACCCUUUGCUGCGGUCGACGUCACAGUGGUGUAGCUGACAUUUAUCGCGGCUGUACCUCGUGUGUUUCGAGUUCUCUCUCACGCUUGCAAGUGGCAGUGCCGCAUAAGACUGGCACGCCGCCGUGUAAUGCUCUUGCACUCUGCCUGCUUGGCUAUUGCGUUUCUCACUUGAUCAUUGUUUAGACUGCUCACCUUCUGCUCAGGAGGGGCACGGGCACAGAGAGAGGUGGUGGAUAGCGUGCCAAUCUUUCCCAGUCCUUGCCCACGCUGCUUUGUAGCGUUAGUGAAGCGGAAAGAGAUGCAACGGUCGCACCUGUGCCUGCGCGUACGUGUUCCUUUCUUCUUUCCCCUUCCCCCUCUUUCUGUGUGUGUGUGCGUGCGCUGUCUCCGUGUCCUCCCUCCUUGUCGCGUUCCUGCGAUUCUUCUGUUGUCCCCCGUU
rnacentral:misc_RNA from 1 species